rnacentral:rRNA from 1 species
CCCUUAGAUGCUCUGGGCUGCACACGUGCUACACUGGCAGGUUCAGCGAGCUUCAUGCCCUGAUCUGAAAGGAAUGGGAAAUCUUUUCAAAACCUGCCGUGCUUGGGAUAGAUGUUUGCAAUUAUUCAUCUUCAACGAGGAUUGCCUUGUAAGCGCACGUCAUCAGCGUGCAUUGAAUACGACCCUGUAUUCUGUACACACCGCCCGUCGCUCCUACCGAUUGAAGUUUUCGGUGAGUUGACAGGAGGAUUUUUUUGAAACUGGUUCGCCAGUGGAUUUUAGAUCCAAAUGCCAACGAAUCGAUGGCUUUAGAGGAAGGAGAAGUCGUAACA